UCAUAAUAAAAUUCUGUUUUGUGAGAAGUAGCACACGUCCCUGGAGAUAAAAGGAAAGAGAGAAACGAAACCCUAAGAAGAGGAGGAUCGGGUCGUCGAACCUUUUUUCUGAUCAGAGAAGAGAAGAAGGAAAAGCAAAGAUGAUGAACACUUCUAACGGAACGAUAUCGGGGCCAUCUUCAUCGUCUUCACCGGCUGCGAACCCUCAGGCACCUGGGAUUAAGACUUAUUUCAAGACCCCCGAAGGCAAGUACAAGCUCCACUACGAGAAGACUCAUUCUUCUGGUCUCCUUCACUACGCUCAUGGCAAAACCGUUACUCAGGUUAGUCUAUUCGUUUACGGAUUGCUUCGAUCGAAUCUGAUUUUGGGUUUUUGAUUUCUGAUUCGUUCAAUCGGAAUUUUUUUUAGAGAUUUAGUGAAAUUUUGAAUUGCAAUGCUUAAAGGUUGUAACUUUAUCAAUGGGUUUGAUUAGCAAUGCCUAAAGGUUGUAACUUUGAUCAGUGGGUUUCAUUAGCUUUGCUUAAAGGUUGUAACUUUAUCAAUGGGUUUGAUUAGCAAUGCUUAAAGGUCAGUAACUUUGAUCAAUGGGUUUCAUUAGCAAUGCUUAAAGGUUGUAACUUUAUCAAUGGGUUUUAUUAGCUUUGCUUAAAGGUCGUAACUUUGAUCAAUGGGUUUCAUUAGCAAUGCGUAAAGGUUGUAACUUUGAUCAAUGGGUUUGAUUAGCAAUGCCUAAAGGUUGUAACUUUGAUCAAUGGGUUUGAUUAGCAAUGCCUAAAGGUUGUAACUUUGAUCAAUGGGUUUCAUUAGCAAUGCCUAAAGGUUGUAACUUUGAUCAAUGGGUUUCAUUAGCUUUGCUUAAAGGUUGUAACUUUGAUCAAUGGGUUUCAUUAGCUUUGCUUAAAGGUUGAUUAGCUUUGGUCAAUGGGUUUUCAUUAGCUUUGCUUUCCUUUAGAAUUAUAUAGCUAAUGGAGAGUUUACUUUUUGCGUUGUUAGGUAACUCUAGCUCAGCUUAAGGAAAGAGCUGCUCCUUCGACUCCAACUGGUACUUCUUCGGGUUACAGUGCGAGUAGCGGAUUCCGUUCAGCGACAGCGAGGUUGCUAACCGGGAAUGGGAACCGCGCGCUUAGCUUUGUUGGAGGUAAUGGAGGGGGCAAAAACGUGAGUGCUAGUUCGAGGAUUAGUGGCUCCUUCGCUGCUGCUUCUAACUCCAGCACUUCUAUGAUGACGAAUACGAACUUUGAUGGGAAAGGAACUUACUUGGUAUUCAAUGUGGGUGAUGCUGUUUUUAUUUGUGACUUGAACUCACAGGAAAAGGUAAUUAAUUACUUCUGGUUGUUCUGUUUCUUUUCAAGACUUGGCUGUAGUGUUCUGGUAUUGAGAAUUUUUCAUCUUUUUUUUGAUGUAGGAUCCAGUAAAGUCUAUCCAUUUCAGUAAUUCAAACCCCAUGUGCCAUGCUUUUGAUCCUGAUGCUAAGGAUGGGCAUGACUUACUUAUUGGGCUGAACUCUGGCGAUGGUGAGAAGGAUUUUGAGCUCGGUCUUUUUAACCUCUCAUCUAGAUGCGUUGUACCGUGGAUUGAUAGUUACUGUGUGUGUGUGUUAUUGCAGUGUACACUGUAUCGCUGAGACAACAACUACAGGACGUCUCUAAGAAGCUUGUUGCAUCACGAUCGUGAAGGAGAGCUUCAUAAGAGCAGACAUUAUCUAUGUACCACGGACGCAAAAUUCAAAGGCGGAUAGUCUGGCACGCAGUGCUAGGAAGCAAUCGUCUUUUGUCGUUCACAUGGAUUCAGCUCACCCGGUUUGGUUCACAGAGUCAACAUGAGUCUGUAAUGCUGAUGACAAAAAAAAAAAAAAAAAAAAGAGGAUCGGGUCGUCGAACCUUUUUUCUGAUCAGAGAAGAGAAGAAGGAAAAGCAAAGAUGAUGAACACUUCUAACGGAACGAUAUCGGGGCCAUCUUCAUCGUCUUCACCGGCUGCGAACCCUCAGGCACCUGGGAUUAAGACUUAUUUCAAGACCCCCGAAGGCAAGUACAAGCUCCACUACGAGAAGACUCAUUCUUCUGGUCUCCUUCACUACGCUCAUGGCAAAACCGUUACUCAGG
rnacentral:lncRNA from 1 species